rnacentral:rRNA from 1 species
UACGAGGGGGGCAAAUGUUGUUCGGAAUCACUGGGCGUAAAGGGAGCGUAGGCGGCCUUCUAAGUCGAACGUGAAAUCCCUGGGCUCAACCCAGGAACUGCGUCCGAUACUGGAAGGCUUGAAUCCGGGAGAGGGAUGCGGAAUUCCAGGUGUAGCGGUGAAAUGCGUAGAGAUCGGAAAGAACACCAACGGCGAAAGCACUCUGCUGGGCCGACACUGACACUGAGAGACGAAAGCUAGGGGAGCGAAUGGG